UGGGGUCUCCACCUUUAUGGGAUGCGGAUGACCCCAAAGGGAUGGAGCUGACCCCAAAGGGAUGGAGAUGUCCCUAUUGGGGUCUCCACCUCUAUGGGAUGGAGCUGACCCCAAAGGGAUGGAGCUGACCCCAAAGGGAUGGAGCUGACCCCAAUGGGGUGGAGAUGUCCCUAUUGGGGUCUCCACCUUUAUGGGAUGGGGUUAUCCCCAGUGGGAUGGAGAUGUUCCUAUUGGGGUCUUCACCUCUAUGGGAUGGAGAUGACCCCAAAGGGAUGGAAAUGUCCCUAUUGGGGUCUCCACCUUUAUGGGAUGGGGAUGUUCCUAUUGGGAUGGAGCUGACCCCAAAGGGAUGGAGAUGUCCCUAUUGGGGUCUCAACCUCUAUGGGAUGGAGAUGACCCCAUUAGGAUGGAGAUGAUCCCAUUGUGGGAUCUUCACCUCUAUGGGAUGGAGAUGUUCCUAUUGAGAUCUCCACCUUUAUAGGGUGGAGUUGACCCCAAUAGGAUGGCGAAUCUCCCUCCAACCCCCAUAAGACCUCCUAAAAAUCUCUCCCUAACCCCAUUAUCUCCAUAUCCUUCCCAUAAGGUCCUCCAGGCCAGUUGGUGACGUGGCCGGCCAGCUCGGUGCUGACGGCCCGCUUACGCCGUUUGGUAGCCGCGUGCCAACGCUCGUGUCACCGGCAACGCCUGCGGGUCGAGGCGGCCGCGCGGGGAGAGAGGAGGCGGAGGAGGUGCGAGGCAGCCUGCAAGCUGAAGGAGAUGGCCAGGAGGCAGAAACAGCAGAGGUGGACGCGCCGCGAACAAGCUGACUUCUACCGCGUGGUUUCCACUUAUGGGGUGGAAUUUGAACCCGAAACGCGACGAUUCCGUUGGGGUCGAUUCCGUGCCCUGGCCAGGCUGGAAAGGAAAACGGAUGAGAGUUUGGCCAAAUUCUUCCACGGGUUCGUGGCCAUGUGCCGUCAGGUCUGCCGACUGCCACCGGCACCAGGAGACGGUAGGAUUUAGGGUCGUGGCCCUAUAGAGGGGAAGAGGGGUGGAUGGGGUGGUGGGGAUGGGGGUUUGGGGUGUCCCAGUGGGGUUGAAAGGUGGUGGGGUGCGGGGUUUCCCCAUUGGGACGUUGGUUGGGGGCAUUUCUGUAGGGUUUGGGGUUGAAAGGUGGUGGGGUGUGGGGUUUCCCCAUUGGGACAUUGGUUGGGGGAAUCUCUGUAGGGUUUGGGGUUGAAAGGUGGUGGGGUGUGGGGUUUCCCCAUUGGGAUGUUGGUUGGGGGAAUCUCUGUAGGGUUUGGGGUUGAAAGGUGGUGGGGUGCGGGGUUUCCCCAUUGGGACGUUGGUUGGGGGCAUU